rnacentral:misc_RNA from 1 species
UUUUUUAAUUAAAAACUAGAAUGRAAGGUUAUACAUUCAAAUUUCUUUAUUAAUUUUUAAUAAAUAAUUUAUAUUAAAUAUAAAAAUAUAUUUAUAAAAAAAAAAGACGACAAGACCCUAUUAAAUUUUACUUAUAGUUUAGCUGGGGAAGCUUUUUAAUUAAAAUUUUUUAAAUUUAAUAAAUAAAAAUCUAAUAAAAUUAAAAUUUUAAUAAAUUACUAUAGGGAUAACAGCAUUAUAUUUUUUUAAAGUUCAUAUUAAAAAAAAAAAUUGUGACCUCGAUGUUGAAUUAUAUUUUCUAUAUUUAAUGCAAUAAUUAUAAAAGUAGAUCUGUUCGAUCUUUAAAAUAUUACAUGAUUUGAGUUCAAACCGGUGUAAACCAGGUUGGUUUCUAUCUUUUUAUAUAUUUUUCUAGUACGAAAGGACAAAAAAAUUUUUAUUUCAAUAAAUUAGCAAAUAAAUGCAUUAGAUUUAGAAUCUAAAUAUAUUUAAUAAUU